rnacentral:tRNA from 1 species
GCAGUGGUAGUUUAGUGUUAGAAUUCUCACUUUCCAUGUGGGAGACCCAGGUUCAAUUCCUGGCUAGUGUA